GGCUCAGGACGAACGCUGGUGGCGUGCUUAACACAUGCAAGUCGAACGGUGAAGCUCAGCUUGCUGGGUGGAUCAGUGGCGAACGGGUGAGUAACACGUGAGCAACCUGCCCCCUACUUCGGGAUAAGCCUUGGAAACGAGGUCUAAUACCGGAUAUGAACAUCUAUCGCAUGGUGGGUGUUGGAAAGUUUUUCGGUGGGGGAUGGGCUCGCGGCCUAUCAGCUUGUUGGUGGGGUAAUGGCCUACCAAGGCGUCGACGGGUAGCCGGCCUGAGAGGGCGACCGGCCACACUGGGACUGAGACACGGCCCAGACUCCUACGGGAGGCAGCAGUGGGGAAUAUUGCACAAUGGGCGAAAGCCUGAUGCAGCGACGCCACGUGAGGGAKGACGGCCUUCGGGUUGUAAACCUCUUUCAGCAGGGAAGAAGCGAGAGU
rnacentral:rRNA from 1 species